rnacentral:ncRNA from 2 species
UUCCAGUGUUCCGCAGGUUGAGGUAGUAGGUUGUAUAGUUCAGAGUGACACCACAGGAGAUAACUGUACAGCCUCCUAGCUUUCCCUGAGGAAACACAA